AUGAAGGAUGCUGCUGUGAGCCAUGCCACCCCAUCAGCAAGUGUUGAAGUGGACGCCCCCGAGACCAACCUAAGCAAGGAAAAUUCCCGCUCAUCUGACACGGAUUCCAAGCGCGUGCAUGGUGGCACUCCUGUGUCCACGACAGAAGUGGCUGAGGUGAUAGUUCAUAAUGAUAUGCCGUCCACAGGUGAGAGUCUUGGCACAACAGCUCUAUCUCUUGGUGGUGCAGAGGUUGCUAAGGCGACCGUUUCACGAGAUGGUCUUCCACCUAGGCAUCGUAGCCCCCGCAAGAAAUCAACAGACAUACCCAAUGCACCGGCUGUAGCUAGAAGCAGCAGAGAUGACUCUGGUUAUGUUCCUGCGUCACACUGUUCCCACCACCUGCCAAAACCAUUGUUAUGGAGAAACCGGAAGACCGGAGUACAACUGAUCCAGGUGGCAAGACGGGCACGACUGACGGAGGUGAACGUCCGGAAGACGGGCACGACUGACGGAGGUGAACGUCCGGAGCAGACUGCGUCUUUAUCCGCCGUGGAGAACCCCAGCUUAAAUCUGCACACUUCCAAGCUGCUAGUCAAUGUUGGUGUCCCCUACAGCCCAAACAAGAAGAUUGUCAAGAAAGCUAUGACUGAUACGGCUGACAACACACCCCUCCCUACGAAUAAGCCCGAUGAUUCUGCAGCGGCCGAUUCAGAAAUGUUUGUUGAUCUUUCACCUUGGAUUCUGCCCCGCAAGUUGUUCGCGGUCCGGCCAGUAGGCAUGAGAGGCACCCAAUGGCCUUCACCCCACCGAGCUUUAGCCUUGGCAUCCAUCAAGAUCAACCAGUGGUCCAAGAUCCUACGCCAGUUGCCUUUCCUUUCCUGGCAGGCAUGGCCGCAAUGA
rnacentral:rRNA from 1 species